AACGCGAAGAACCUUACCUGGGCUUGACAUGUUCCUGACAGCCGUGGAAACACGGUCUCUCUUCGGAGCAGGAUCACAGGUGGUGCAUGGCUGUCGUCAGCUCGUGUCGUGAGAUGUUGGGUUAAGUCCCGCAACGAGCGCAACCCCCGUCGCAUGUUGCCAGCAUUUAGUUGGGGACUCAUGCGAGACCGCCGGUGACAAACCGGAGGAAGGUGGGGAUGACGUCAAGUCAUCAUGCCCCUUAUGUCCAGGGCUACACACGUGCUACAUUGGCGCGUACAGAGGGUUGCGAUACCGCGAGGUGGAGCGAAUCCCUUAAAGCGCGUCUCGGUUCGGAUUGCAGGCUGAAACUCGCCUGCAUGAAGGCGGAGUUGCUAGUAAUCGCGGAUCAGCACUGCCGCGGUGAAUACGUUCCCGGGCCUUGUA
rnacentral:rRNA from 1 species